GACGAACGCUGGCGGCGUGCCUAAUACAUGCAAGUUGAGCGAUGAAGAUUGGUGCUUGCACCAAUUUGAAGAGCAGCGAACGGGUGAGUAACGCGUGGGGGAUCUGCCUUUGAGCGGGGGACAACAUUUGGAAACGAAUGCUAAUACCGCAUAACAACUUUAAACAUAAGUUUUAAGUUUGAAAGAUGCAAUUGCAUCACUCAAAGAUGAUCCCGCGUUGUAUUAGCUAGUUGGUGAGGUAAAGGCUCACCAAGGCGAUGAUACAUAGCCGACCUGAGAGGGUGAUCGGCCACAUUGGGACUGAGACACGGCCCAAACUCCUACGGGAGGCAGCAGUAGGGAAUCUUCGGCAAUGGACGAAAGUCUGACCGAGCAACGCCGCGUGAGUGAAGAAGGUUUUCGGAUCGUAAAACUCUGUUGGUAGAGAAGAACGUUGGUGAGAGUGGAAAGCUCAUCAAGUGACGGUAACUACCCAGAAAGGGACGGCUAACUACGUG
rnacentral:rRNA from 1 species